rnacentral:rRNA from 1 species
AAACUGAGGAUAAUACCGGAUAGGCAAUUAUUCCUGUAAUGGUUUUUUGUUUAAAUGUUUUUUCGCCUAAGGAUGGGUCUGCGGCCGAUUAGGUAGUUGGUUAGGUAAUGGCUUACCAAGCCGUUGAUCGGUACGGGUUGUGAGAGCAAGAGCCCGGAGAUGGAACCUGAGACAAGGUUCCAGGCCCUACGGGGUGCAGCAGGCGCGAAACCUCCGCAAUGUGAGAAAUCGCGACGGGGGGAUCCCAAGUGCCAUUCUUAACGGGAUGGCUUUUCAUUAGUGUAAAAAGCUUUUGGAAUAAGAGCUGGGCAAGACCGGUGCCAGCCGCCGCGGUAACACCGGCAGCUCUAGUGGUAGCAAUUUUUAUUGGGCCUAAAGCGUCCGUAGCCGGUUUAAUAAGUCUCUGGUGAAAUCCUGUAGCUUAACUGUGGGAAUUGCUGGAGAUACUAUUANACUUGAGACCGGGA